UGGGUGCAGGAGGUCAGUGAACGGGUGGGAGUGUAUGGGUGCAGGAGGUCAGUGAACGGGUGGGAGUGUAUGGGUGCAGGAGGUCAGUGAACGGGUGGGAGUGUAUGGGUGCAGGAGGUCAGUGAGGUAUGUGUCCAUUGAACGCUUCGUAUGCAAGCAAGAGCAGUUUGAAGAUGACCCUGUAGUGAACGGGGAGCCGGUGAAGUUUUAUGAGAGUUGUGGUCAAGGUCUGGUGUGUGAGAGGACUUGUGCGGCUGUGUUUUGAAUGUGUUGAAGUCUGUCCAGUGUUUUGGCGGGGAGUCGGUAGAGAAUGGCGUUGCAGUAGUCCAGGCCGGAUACAACAAGGACGUGAAUGAGGGUUUCAGCAGUGGGGUCAGUAAGAGAGGGUCUCAGUCGUGAAAUGUUUGUGAGGUGGAAGAAGGCUGACUUGGUGGUUUACUUCACAGAAGAUUCAAUCAAUAUCAUGAACAAGCAGCAUUGGGUCAAAAUGAAGGAGAAAUACUCUUGGACAGAAGGAAGAGACUGCUUUCAGAAUAUGGAGAUCAAUGAAAGACAGGCAUAUUGAUCUCAGUUUCAGAACCCAAGGGUAGAUUUAAAACCACACUGAUAUUGCACAUUAUUUAUGUUAAAGGGAAGUAUUUAUGAAUCCUAGGCUACUAAAAAUGAAAAAUAUGGUUGCAGAGCCUUUACGCAACAAAAAAACAAAUACUAUGGUUCAUUCUAAAAGUUGACACAUUCAGUUCUUCAAUGGUAAUGUUUGAAGUAUUGUACAAUAUAAUUAUAAUAGGGGAAAUAGUGUACAUUAUCUGCAAUCCUGCAAGUUAUAAGCAUACAAUGACAAUUCUUCAUAAAGACAGCAUUCCAUACUUCACAGUGGGAAAAAGGGGAAAAAAACACAUUCACGUUGAUUUGUAUCUGAGUUUGCUUCACAUGUGUUUUCCGCAGUAAUAAGGUAUAUACUCUUAUCAAUAUCCCUUAUCAGUUUAUAAAUAACUGUGCAUGGAGAACAGUUCCAUUUUCAUUUUUUAAAUUUAACCUUUAUUUAACUAGGCCAAGUCAGUUAAGAACUAAUUCUUAUUUACAAUGACGGCCUACCCCAGCCAAACCCUAACAACGCUGGGCCAAUUGUGAGCCGCCCUAUGGGACUCCCAAUCACGGCCGGUUGUGAUACAGCCUGAAAUUGAACCAGGGUCUGUAGCGACGCCUCGAGCACUGAGAUGCCGUGACUUGGACGGCUGCGCCACUCGGGAGCCCUAAAUACCUAUGCCAUACCUAUGGGGGAAAAAUGAAAGCAGCAAUAUUUAACUUUUUAUUGACCUGACCAAAUUCACAUAGAAAUGUAAGUUAUAAAUGUGUCAUUCUCAUUGAAAGCAAGUCUAAAAAGUGGUAGAUCUGUUCUAUGUGCACUAUUUCUCUGCUUCCGUUCUUAAGUUUCGUUUAUUGCGUCUUUUACUUUCGGUAUUGUACACCAGCUUCAAAACAGCUGAAAAUACAAUAUUUUUGGUUUUUGAAAUUAUAUUUCACAGCUGUUUAGAUGCUACAAUGAUUCUCUACACUAUACAUUGCUUGUUUUAUCACAUAGGGCUCUAUAUUGGGCUGGUGUUUAGGCGGCGCUAGUGUAAAACGCACUUUAGUUUGCAAUUUCCUCAUAAAAACAGGCCCAAUGGCAUUUUCCAGCCAUAACGCCAAUUUAUGCAUGUUUAGCUUGCGAUUGAAGCUUCCAGGUUUUUGUGAUAUAGAACAGUCACCACAGCUAAAUGGUUUCUCUCCUGUCUGAGUCCAAACAUGUUUGGUUAGGUUCCUCUUGCGACUGAAGCUUUUCCCACAGUCAGCACAACUAAAUGAUUUAUCUCCUGUGUGAAUCAUCAUGUGCUUGGACAGAACUCCUUCAAGUUUGAAGGUCUUGUCAAAAAAGGGGUAGGUGCUGGUUUUCCCACCAUGACACAGUCUGACAUGGGCCUUCAGUUUGCAGGUAGAGUUGUAGACAUUUUUGCAGAAUUGGCAUUCACUGGGUUUCUUCUUGGCGAGAGUCACAUGCAUCUGCAGGUCAGAUUUUAGAGCGAAGGUUUCACCACAGACACAGCAGCUGAGAGUUUUUAUAGCUGUGUUGCUGGGUUUGGAUCUUUGUUUCUUAUAUGGUGGGUUGUGAUCCAAUGGUGAGCUGGGAUCUAAUGUUGGGCUGCUAUCAAGUCCUAUUGGGUCGCUGCUUUCGGCUGUGCUGUGGCUGGAUGCAUCGUUUUGAUUAUUUGGAGGGUCACAGGGAAUAUUGAGAGCCUUUAGCUGAGUCACAGUGCCAAAAGGUGUGAGAUUCAAUUGUUUAGGGUCACACUCUCUGUUCUCCACAGUCUGGAUUUGAGGAGGAGUCAAGGGGUCCUCCUGACCACAUUUACUUGUCACACCGGCAGGAGUGAAUAUUGUGUGUUUGGUAUCAAAGAGCUCUUGAAGCUGUUCUUCCUCCUGACUGAUUUGCCCCUCUUCCUCUUUAAUCUGUGUGGCUUCUAUGUUCUCUUGCCCCAGACUGAAGCUCCACUCCUGCUCACAGUGCUGAUGCUCAGGGAGAACCUCCUCUUCAGAGACAGCUAGAGAGAGCUGCAAGGAAUCUGGAAGGAAUGGGUGCCUAAGGUUAUCCAGCCUUUAGACAGCAGGGUUACAGUGAAUUUGAAUUGAAAGGAGCAAUCUGCAGUUCAAACAAUAACAAAGCAGGUACCCCGUCACUGUUUUGGUAAAGGGGUGAGGCUUGCUAAAUGGAACCACUAUCAAAUUUAUAGACAGCGCUAUGGGUGAAAAGGACUGACCAGCUAUGAUAUCAAAAUGACAGUUUUAAACAUGUUGAGGCUAUAAAGUGUUUGUUUACAAUUACAUUGUUUAGAAACACUGUAGUAAAACAAGCUUAUAUUUGGGGUUUGAGGCAUCCAUAAAUUAUAUUCUUCAAGAAUCCAUGGGUAUAUUAUUCAUUUUAAGGUAAAAAAAAAAUGUAUGUACCAAUCGCAGAUUGCAAAUCUAGAAUCUAUUUCCAAUUACCGCUCAAUAAACUAAAGAGAAAAAGCGAUUUAUUUUUAAAAAAUUGUCCAUUUAAAAAAAAUGAUAAAUUCAAAUCACUUCCAGGUUUUUGUGAUAUAGAACAGUUUUCUCCAUACUAGUAAACCACCACCUCCAGAGGUAAACAUGUUAAAUGAUUAAAUAUUUUCUUCAUAUAUCUAUAGCCCUUAGCACCAGUUUCCACCUCCUUCAAAAACCCCUGUAGUUUCCUCUAGAGGAGGAGCAUGACACAUGCUCUGCCUAAUAGGGCUGUUGCGAUAGCAGUAUCGCAAUAUUCUUUCCAUGUUUCCAAAAAUGAAAACAUGAAGCAGAUAAUACUUCGGUCCUUUAAAAACCUGCUGUAUGUAAAAUAUUGUGUGCUAUAGCUUGGAAAAUAAAUAAAUGUGACUCUGGAUGGAAAUAUAAUGAUGAUUGUUUCCACAUGUUACAUUAGGUCUGUUUUCCUGAAGAAGUUAAAUCCGCUCCGUGUUCUAGUUCCUUGCCACGAUACUAACGAGAAAAGAAAAACUCCUACAGCCACCUCUGUCACGCCACCCUCAGUAGCUGAAAACACCAUCUGCUGUGCCCGCUGCGGGAGCGUGGUCCAUCUGCAAGCUCCCCUCAGGAGCGUGAGUCGGAGGUGCCAAGUGUGUGCUGCGACUUCUGCCAGCACUGCACCCACUGCUGUUGUGUGCUGCGGGACCCAGAGAGGGCAGUGGAGCUGGACUUUUAAUGCGAUAUGUGUGACAAUAUAGGGAUGGAGGUCGAGAUUUAGUUGUCUUGUUUGCUUUGAUGUGUGUAUUUAUGAAUCUAAUAUAUGCAAUUUAAUAUAUAUUUAUUCAAACCAUGUCUUGUUUUCAUUCCAAGUGUAUCACUGCAACACAGUGUUUUACUGUUCACGUCAAUACAUGUUUAUUUAAUGUC